rnacentral:rRNA from 1 species
UACGGGGGGGGCAAGCGUUGUUCGGAAUUACUGGGCGUAAAGGGCUCGUAGGUGGUCAACUAAGUCAUACGUGAAAUCCCUCGGCUUAACCGGGGAACUGCGCCUGAUACUGGUUGACUUGAGUUUGGGAGAGGGACGCGGAAUUCCAGGUGUAGCGGUGAAAUGCGCAGAUAUCAGGAGGAACACCGGUGGCGAAGGCGGGUCUCUGGGCCGUAACUGACGCUGAGGAGCGAAAGCGUGGGGAGCGAACAGG